rnacentral:rRNA from 1 species
ACUCCUACGGGAGGCAGCAGUGGGGAAUAUUGCACAAUGGGCGCAAGCCUGAUGCAGCCAUGCCGCGUGUGUGAAGAAGGCCUUCGGGUUGUAAAGCACUUUCAGUUGUGAGGAAAGGUUAGUCGCUAAUAUCGGCUAGCUGUGACGUUAGCAACAGAAGAAGCACCGGCUAACUCCGUGCCAGCAGCCGCGGUAAUACGGAGGGUGCGAGCGUUAUCCGGAUUUAUUGGGUUUAAAGGGUCUGUAGGCGGAUUAAUAAGUCAGUGGUGAAAUCCCAUCGCUUAACGAUGGAACUGCCAUUGAUACUGUUAGUCUUGAAUGAGGGUGCAGUGGUUGGAAUGUGUAGUGUAGCGGUGAAAUGCAUAGAUAUUACACAGAACACCGAUUGCGAAGGCAGAUCACUAACCCUAAAUUGACGCUGAGGGACGAAAGCGUGGGGAGCGAACAGGAUUAGAUACCCUGGUAGGCUCU